UACGUAGGGGGCAAGCGUUGUCCGGAUUUAUUGGGCGUAAAGAGCGUGUAGGCGGCCAUGUAGGUCCGUUGUGAAAACUCGAGGCUCAACCUCGAGACGCCGAUGGAAACCAUGUGGCUAGAGUCCGGAAGAGGAGAGUGGAAUUCCCGGUGUAGCGGUGAAAUGCGCAGAUAUCGUGAGGAACACCAGCGGCGAAGGCGGCACUCUGGGCUGGAACUGACGCUGAGGAGCGAAAGCGUGGGUAGCAAACAGG
rnacentral:rRNA from 1 species